UUUUUCCUCGUCUUUUCGGCCCGGGAACCGCGCCUCGUCGACCGGGGGUGGAAAAUAUCCCGUCUGAACCACACGCGAACACGAAGGGCACGCGACGGCUGUGGAUACAACAUUCUUCUCUCCGGCGUCGAUCUGCUCUGGCGGCCGCUUCUCACCGUUAUGCAGGCAAACCGACAAAGACAUUCUACAGUUCUCUUCAACUGAAGCCUUGCUGAAAUUUGAAAGUUCAAGUGCAAAGUGAAUUUUAAUAAUGAGAAGUUGUGCAUCUGACACAGGAUGGUGUUAAAAAAAUAUUAUCCCUGCACCAGUUCGAGUUGGAGAAGACGAACUUCCACCGUCUUGGGACCCUAUAUCCUCUCCUUUAGUUAGCAAUGGAUGUGGCACUAAGAGAUCACCUUAGACAGAGGAGAGAUGAUGAUGAUGAUGACAUGAUGUUGUUUUUUCUCCCUAUGCUACAUAUAUUGGGUUCUAGUUCAAACAUAGUAACGGAAAAGAAGCGAAGGCAUACAUCAAAGUUAAGUGGCGAAGAACAUGUUCAGGAGUUGCUCCAAGGUCAUUUGAAGAACUGUCGGGUAGCGUUCAGGAUGGAGCCUGAAAUUUUCAAAUCCUUGGCAAGUUAUCUUAGAAGGGAGGGGUUGGUCCGUGAUACAAGGAUUAAGGUCGAGGAAAAGUUAGCAUUCUUCUUAUACAUGCUCAGCCAUAAUGCCUCAUUUGAAGAUCUAAUAGAAGAAUUUGGGCACAGUGGUGAUACAUAUCAUCGUCACAUCAAGCAUUUCUUUGACCUAGUUGUUCCUACACUCUCCAAGCAAUUCCUGAAGCCACCAAAUCCUAAUCAUGUCCAUCAAAAAAUUGAAAGGAAUCCUAGGUUUUAUCCCUACUUCAAGAAUUGCAUUGGUGCAAUCGAUGGCACUCAUGUGCCUAUAUCGAUAUCACCUGACAAAGCCGCUCCAUUUAGGAAUAGGAAGGGCACUCUUACUCAAAAUGUAAUGGUAGCGUGUGAUUUUGAUCUCAAUGUAACUUUCAUAUCCACUAGGUGGGAGGGGUCCGCGACGGAUGCUAGAGUUCUUAGGGCUGCAAUGAACAAUGGCUUUCAAGUACCUCUGGGGAAAUUUUAUUUAGUAGAUGGCGGUUAUGCCAACACACCAUCUUUCCUUGCCCCAUAUCGCGGAGUUAGGUAUCAUUUGAAGGAAUAUGGGGCAGGUCGUCGAAGACCACAAAACUACAAGGAGAUCUUUAAUCAUCGCCAUGCAGUGUUGAGGAAUCAUAUUGAAAGGGCCUUGGGAGUUAUAAAGAAACGCUUCCCCAUACUUAAGGUUGCCACGUUUCACAAAAUAGAAAACCAAGUGAAGAUACCGGUAGCAGCUGCCGUGUUGCACAACAUUAUUCGGUCUCUCAAAGGAGAUGAACAAUGGUUAGAAGAUCAGGCAGAAAAUGUUCAAGGCAAUGUUGUUGAUAUUCCAGAUGGAGAUCAAAGCAAUGAUCAAGGCAGUGAACAAGGCAACAAUCUCAGAGACACAAUUGCACAACAAAUGUGGAUUGAUUAUCAACAAUGCAAUUAGUGAUGCAUUAUAAUAUGUUUUAUUGUUAUUGGGAUUGCAAUAAGUUCUUAGGAAAUGUAGUUUGUACUAGUUAUGAUGUUUUAAUGUUAUUCGAAUAUGCUUUCAGUUAUGCUUUAAAAAUUAUUGUUGUUCACAAUUAUGCUUUCAUGUUCUAAUUAUGCUCAUGUUAUAAGUUACCAUGCUUGGAAGGGGGUCUCCAAGAUUAAACAUGCUUGCAAGGGGGUCUCCUAGAUUUAACAUGCUCUUAUCUAAAGGUGCACAAAAGAAAAAAUCUCCUAUAGCUACUGCUUCAAAGACACAUGGAGGCUCUCCAAAAGAUCUGCUAUCUUUCACUUAUGUCCAAUCUUUCACUUGUGCCGGUGAAUGGUGAUGAUGCAUUGCUGCUUAUUGCUGACGGCCGCCUGCUACUGCUUGCUACUUGUACCACGACAACAACGAUUGCUGCUUGUUGUUGGCCAUGUGUGCGAGGCCUGGUCAUGCAUAAACAAUGGUGCAUGUCAUGAACUCUUUAACUGUAGGGCAUUUCAGUGCAUUGGAUGGAUUACUUGUCCUGUAAUGAAACCUAUAAUAAUGGUGCUUCUAUGCGACUGCUGCAAGACAUCACUUGUCUGCUAUUUCUUGUGUAAACUGAGGAUAAUUAUAUGCUGUUGAUAAAACUAUAUGCAUGAAUAGAAGCCUGACGAUUCCUGGCCU